rnacentral:rRNA from 1 species
GACGAACCGUGCGACCGUUGUUCGGAAUCACUGGGCUUAAAGGGCGCGUAGGCGGGCACGCAAGUCAGGGGUGAAAUCCUCCGGCUCAACCGGAGAACAGCUUUUGAUACUGCGUGCCUCGAGGGGGGUAGGGGCAUGUGGAACUUCCGGUGGAGCGGUGAAAUGCGUAGAUAUCGGAAGGAACAUCAGUGGCGAAAGCGACUUCCUGGACCAGUACCGACGUUCAGGCACGAAAGCGUGGGGAGCAAACAGG